rnacentral:rRNA from 1 species
GAUGAACGCUGGCGGCGUGCCUAAUACAUGCAAGUCGAGCGAACGGACGAGAAGCUUGCUUCUCUGAUGUUAGCGGCGGACGGGUGAGUAACACGUGGAUAACCUACCUAUAAGGCUGGGAUAACUUCGGGAAACCGGAGCUAAUACCGGAUAAUAUUUUGAACCGCAUGGUUCAAAAGUGAAAGACGGUCUUGCUGUCACUUAUAGAUGGAUCCGCGCUGCAUUAGCUAGUUGGUAAGGUAACGGCUUACCAAGGCAACGAUGCAUAGCCGACCUGAGAGGGUGAUCGGCCCCACUGGAACUGAGACACGGUCCAGACUCCUACGGGAGGCAGCAGUAGGGAAUCUUCCGCAAUGGGCGAAAGCCUGACGGAGCAACGCCGCGUGAGUGAUGAAGGUCUUCGGAUCGUAAAACUCUGUUAUUAGGGAAGAACAUAUGUGUAAGUAACUGUGCACAUCUUGACGGUACCUAAUCAGAAAGCCACGGCUAACUACGUG